UACGGAGGGUGCGAGCGUUGUUCGGAAUUAUUGGGCGUAAAGGGCGCGUAGGCGGUGCGGUAAGUCACCUGUGAAACCUCUGGGCUUAACUCAGAGCCUGCAGGCGAAACUGCCGUGCUUGAGUGUGGGAGAGGUGCGUGGAAUUCCCGGUGUAGCGGUGAAAUGCGUAGAUAUCUGGAGGAACACCGGUGGCGAAGGCGGCGUCCUGGACCAACACUGACACUGAUGAGCGAAAGCCAGGGGAGCAAACGGG
rnacentral:rRNA from 1 species